UGCUGAUGCUGAUGCUGAUGCUGAUGCUGAUGCUGAUGCUGAUGCUGAUGCUUGAUGAUGACCAUCACCAUCAUCAUCGUCAUCAUCAUCAUCACGGUCA
rnacentral:pre_miRNA from 1 species